CAGUCGCCGCGGGAAUACGAAGGGGGCUAGCGUUGUUAGGAUUUACUGGGCGUAAAGGGUGCGUAGGCGGACUGAUAAGUCAGGGGUGAAAUCCCAAGGCUCAACCUUGGAACUGCCUUUGAUACUGUUAGUCUUGAGUUCGAGAGAGGUGAGUGGAACUGCGAGUGUAGAGGUGAAAUUCGUAGAUAUUCGCAAGAACACCAGUGGCGAAGGCGGCUCACUGGCUCGAAACUGACGCUGAGGCACGAAAGCGUGGGGAGCAAACAGGAUUAGAGACCCCUGUAGUCCCUGUCUCUUAUAC
rnacentral:rRNA from 1 species